GGAGAACACUAUGGAAGAGUGUGAAUUCCAGGAGGUGUGGAUCAUUGGAAGCCAUCUUGAAGGCUAGCUAUCAUAAAAACAAAGAAGAUGGGCCACACCUAGCCAGUUUUCUAUAGAUCUUUCUCUCCAGGACCCUGUGUCUCAUUACAGAGAUAAAUACUGGCCUCUCCUUGGUUUCCAUGGAGUGUGGGCUGGACAGUGCUAAGUGCUGUCAUUUAAGGAACCCCAGGUGCAAAGGCUUGGCCUCCCCCAAUCCCACACUGUCAUCUGUCCACCUCCCACACUCACCAAUUGAUGUACACUGUGAAGAUUUCCUGAGCUAGAGCCUGAAGUCAAAGGUAUUUGUGGAUUCCCCCUGGAGACUAUCCCAUCCUAAGGAUGAUGAAAGGAUUAAGGAGAAACCAUCUUGAAAGGAUACCAAUAGGUUUCAGCAGAACUGCCUCCGAAAAACACCAAGUCUGCGUUUCUGCACAAAAUCCGUGGGCAUUUGCCCGCCUGCUUUGUCCUUCCUCUAUUGCUCCCAAUUUCCCUCUCUUGGCCUCCACCCCCACUUCCCCCACCCCACCCCAGAGGGCUGGUUCCAAUUGCAAAGCCAUUCCUGCAACAAUCUCUGGCAACUGGAGUGAAAGGUGCCGACAAAGAGGCCCUCUCCACAGCUCCCUUUUCA
rnacentral:lncRNA from 1 species